UUUGAAGAAGAAAGUUUUAAAAUCAUCCCUAAUCCCCCCAUUUUUAGUCCUCCUCUUUAUGCCAUGGAGCAAACAAUACAAAUUUAAAUGCAUUGGCGAGAGGAACAGUGAUGUCAGCAGGUCCAGCGACUUGGGCUUCCUAGCAGGCCUGGCCUUCCGUUUACCUCUCAAGGAAGGAGUUCGAAAAGGACACUGCUUGAUGCAGCUGGCAGACUAGCUAAGGUCUGCGCGGUUAGGGGAGCAGAGCCGCGAGGGGCAUCAGAGCGGUGGGAAGAGGAGAGAGAGGCGGCGAAGACGAGGAGGAGGACGACAAGACCAAAAGCCGGAAAAGGGCAGAUGGAGCAGAAGCAACGAGGCGGCCCGGGCUCAGGCGGGAGCUUGGCGCGCUGAGAAGUCUCCCUCCGGGCGGCCUGGGUCUUCUCCAGGCAACAAGAGGGGCCCUGAACCUCUACCACCUCCGGCUGUGGGCAGAAGACUGUGACCAAAUCAAUCGUCCCACCGAACCUGGGGAGGAAAACCGGUUGGAGUUCUGAGCAGGAAGGCCUGCCUGGAGCGACCAUAUGCAGCAAAACCCAAGGCAGAGGCUACGACGGUCGGCAGGGCCUGGGUGUGGCUGCACGGCUAUAAAGCACAAGGGGUGUCAGCCAGAAGCAAUGAGGGCUGCUCCGCACAGGACAGAAGAAAGACUGGGGUCUGCGGACGGCUCUGGGGAGGCGUAGGAGACCCACAGAUUUCCAGGUCCCUGGACAGCCACUUUCAAGUGACUUUUUUCUGUAGACCAAAAUAUGUUUAAUGAAAAUACCUCUGAUCCAGGUGCUAAAGUAACUGAUUAAAAGAAGGAAGAAGGAAGAAUUAAGUAGUUAAGGAAUGACCAGCUCUCUACCCGCAACAGCCCCCUUAGCAAUCCUGCAGGCAGAUCACACAAGCAAGAUAACGUCUGGAGAGAGAGGCAGCCAGCCAGCAAGCAAUGGAGAAGGAUGCAGACAGAGCCCGACCUCCUGCCUCAAUGGUUCACUGAAAUUCUUCCCCAUUUUUCCCUUUAAAAACUGUCAUGGCUGAGCAGAAUCUUUGCAGUUGGUCUUGGGACAUGAGUUCACCUUCUCCCCAGAUAGCUGGCUUUUCUGAUUAAAGCGUUUUUCAUUUCUACUGACACUUGCCUCUUGAUUAUUGGCUUUUGAGCAGUGAGCAGCCAACGCUGAGU